GGCAGGAGGUGAAGGAGAUGGCACAUACAGAGGUACAGAACGGUGACUGAAACCACACGCCAUGUUGGGAGACUUCCAAACGAGUCUAGAGAGUUGGCACUUAGGGAUGAAGAAAUCAUCUUCUGGUCAGUGGCCCAGAGAAUGCUUUUGAUGAACAGAUGAUGAGUGACAAUGCAAGAUGAACUGUGACAAGGAUCCUGUGGGUUGUCAAAUGAGUUAAGAGGAAGGAAAAAUUCCUUUGGGCUGCUGAGGCCAAGACAAGCUUCAUUUCAAGCUUAGUCCUGAAGAUGAGUGGGAUUAAGAUAAAAAAUAAAGAAUGGAAAUGAGCAUGAACAAAAACGUGAUGGUGAAAGCAUACUUGCUAUUUUCAAAAGCCAGGAGCAGUGCUAUCAGAGGCAGGCAAACAGGCCUGGAAAAGAAGGUGCCAAGACAAGGAUAUCUUCGAAAUACAGGCUUGAGCAUUUAAUCUAAAGCCAGAAAAAAACAUUGGCUUCAACUGUCCAUC
rnacentral:lncRNA from 1 species